rnacentral:misc_RNA from 1 species
AUUAAUUUGCAUUUUAUUUCUUUGUAGGAAUUUGGGAAGAUAUUCAAGCGACCAAAAAAAGUGCCUUUGAAAGGCUUAAUUCUGGAUCUAGCAUAUUAACAGAUAUUGUAGACGGGCAAGAAUACAGAAAAUUAAUGAAAGAUGGAUUUCUCAAAGAAAGUGAAAACUUGACAGCAAUUUUCAAUACAGAUGGGGUAAACUUGUAUUCAUCUUCAAAAAUUGAGCUAUGGCCAAUAUUUUUAGCUAUAAAUGAACUUAGCCCCCCAAAGCGUUUUUCACGGGAAAACAUUCUUCUAGCAGCAAUGUGGCAGGGCAAAGGUAAACCACCUUUUCAUGAAUAUUUUAGAGAAUUUAGCAGUCAUUUGAAUGCCUUGUAUACCAAUGGUGUUGAAGUUUUAUUGAUGAUGAUAGUUUUCAUGUGAAGUUGAAGAUCAUAUGUGGUAUAAUGGAUUUACCUGCAAAGGCGGAGUUGCUCAACAUGUCAUACUUCAAUGGACCCUUUCCUUGCAUUACAUGUGAGGAGGAAGGAAAGACAGUAAAACAAGGUAAAGGAACAGCUAGAUGUUUACCUUAUAGAUCUCCUGAUGACAGAAGUAUGGAACGAAGACAUGAAGUUGUUAUUGAAAAUAUGAGAUCUGGUAGCCCAAAGAGUCGUUCUAAAGGAUUUAAAGGAAAAUCAGGGAUCUCUUAUUUAAAAGACUUUGAUCUUGUGUCAGGAAUUGUACCAGACUAUAUGCAUGGAGUUUGCUUAGGUGUCACCAAAACUCUAAUGUAGGGGAUUCACAUUUUACUAGGAAAUGCAAUAUCAGAAGAGUCUCUGACUAAAGCAAAAGGCCUGUUGCAGCAGUUCUAUGCAUCAUUUGCUAGAUUGUAUGGGGAAGGAUCUAGUGGCCUCAACAUUCACAAUACAGGAUCACACUUGUGUGACUUUGUUAAACUUUGGGGUCCCAUAUGGUGUUGGAGUUGUUUUCCUUUUGAGGACAUAAAUGCAAUGCUGCUUAAUUCUGUUCAUGGUACAGGAGUUGUGUUAAAGCAGGCCAUGAAAUACCGUCAGGCCCAACUGUGCAUCAGAAGGAAAGGACUUGAGUUAAAAAAAUGUAAUAGCUGGAAGGUAAAUUACAUGGCAUCAAAUUGUGCCGUAGCAGGAGCUAUGCAGGUACUUCAACAACAUGAAUUAGAAGAUUCCGUGAAAGCAAAUCUGAUUAAUUUGUUACAGGAAAACUUCCUGGAUAAAUUAAAGAAACUGAACAGAGUUGUUGUUAAUGAAAAGCGUUUCUACUCGGAGCAGUACACACGUAUGCAAAAAAGAAUCUGUACAGUUGUUCUCUUCAGAAAUAAUGAAAUUGGCAAAAUCAAGUACUUCGUGUUCUGUAAUUACACUGAUUCUGUGUACGCUGUUCUCCAAAAAUUGGAAAGAAUUCCAGAAGGACAAGAAAACCAUUACAUACCAGUUACAUUCUCACAAGAAAUUGUUGUGUCCAAUGUUGAGAACCUGAUAGAGGUUUUAGUUUAUCUUGAUUUACAGGAUGUAAAUAGGAAAUAUGUGAUAAAGAUGCCCAAUGGCUAUGGCCAUGCCAUAUUCAAGUGAUUGCGUGAUGCUAUUUUCUUAUUAAUUAAAGUACGGACAGAGGCAAACUUAAUGCAGUGUAUUGAAUUUCCACUGAAACAGAAUAAAUACUCAUUUAUCAGGAUCCAAUUCAAAUUACCAGACUUAAACAGUUAAGGUAAUUUUUGACAAAGGACUUUUACUUUGAUGCUGCAAUGAAACAUUUAUGAUACAUCGGAAUAGUGAUAUGAUGACAAAAUAAAAUUUAAACAUU